rnacentral:tRNA from 1 species
GAGGUUGUGGCUCAGUGGUAGAGCACUUGCCUGGCAUGUGUGAGGCACUGAGUUCUAUCCUCAGCACCACA